rnacentral:rRNA from 1 species
CGCUUUGGGAGGGGCUCGCGACCUAUCAGCUUGUUGGUGAGGUAACGGCUCACCAAGGCGACGACGGGUAGCUGGUCUGAGAGGACGAUCAGCCACACUGGGACUGAGACACGGUCCAGACUCCUACGGGAGGCAGCAGUGGGGAAUUUUGCGCAAUGGGCGAAAGCCUGACGCAGCAACGCCGCGUGGGGGAUGAAGGCCUUCGGGUUGUAAACUCCUUUCGAUCGGGACGAUAAUGACGGUACCGGAAGAAGAAGCCCCGGCUAACUUCGUGCCAGCAGCCGCGGUAAUACGAGGGGGGCGAGCGUUGUUCGGAAUUAUUGGGCGUAAAGGGUGCGUAGGCGGUUUGGUAAGUCUUAUGUGAAAUCUAUGGGCUCAACUCAUAGACUGCAUGAGAAACUGCCGGGCUUGAGUGUGGGAGAGGUGAGUGGAAUUUCCGGUGUAGCGGUGAAAUGCGUAGAUAUCGGAAGGAACACCUGUGGCGAAAGCGGCUCACUGGACCACAACUGACGCUGAUGCACGAAAGCUAGGGGAGCAAACAGGAUUAGAUACCCUGGUAGUCCUAGCCCUAAACCAUGAUUGCUUGGUGUGACGGGUACCCAAUCCCGCCGUGCCGUAGCUAACGCGUUAAGCAAUCCGCCUGGGGAGUACGGUCGCAAGGCUGAA